rnacentral:rRNA from 1 species
UACGUAGGGACCAAGCGUUGUUCGGAUUUACUGGGCGUAAAGGGCGCGUAGGCGGCGCGGUAAGUCACUUGUGAAAUCUCUGAGCUUAACUCAGAACGGCCAAGUGGUACUGCAGUGCUAGAGUGUGGAAGGGGCAAUCGGAAUUCUUGGUGUAGCGGUGAAAUGCGUAGAUAUCAAGAGGAACACCUGAGGUGAAGACGGGUUGCUGGGCCAACACUGACGCUGAGGCGCGAAAGCCAGGGGAGCAAACGGG